rnacentral:tRNA from 1 species
GGAGGUGUCGCCUAGUACGGUCUAUGGCGCCGCACUGCUAAUGCGGUUUGGGUGCAAGCCCAUCGCGAGUUCAAAUCUCGCCACCUCCG